AUGCUUUUGGCCGACAUGAUGAUGGAGGCCAGGAAGGCGUUGAUGGAGAGGGAGAGGGACCAGUUCCCCGUCGGCAUGCGGGUCCUCGCCGUCGACGAUGACCCCGUGUGCCUCAAGGUUCUGGAGGUCCUCCUACGCCGCUGCCAGUAUCAUGUAACAACAACCAACCAAGCUGCUACUGCACUGAGGCUGUUAAGGGAGAACAAGGACAUGUUUGAUCUGGUGAUCAGUGACGUCCACAUGCCCGACAUGGACGGCUUCAAGCUCCUCGAGCUCGUCGGGCUCGAAAUGGACCUCCCCGUCAUCAUGUUAUCGGUGAACGGAGAGACUAAAUCUGUGCUCAAGGGGAUAACUCAUGGUGCCUGUGACUAUCUCCUAAAACCCGUUCGCAUCGAAGAGCUCCGGAACGUGUGGCAGCACGUUGUGAGGAGAAAAUUCUGCAACCGUGAGCCGAACAAUCUUGAUUUCUGCAAGGACUCAUACCACCGGCUCGGCCAGGCGAUCUGUGACAGCCACAGGUCGUCUGACCAGAGCAACAGGGCCAGGAGGAAGAGGAAGGAACUGCACAGCGAGGAGGAAGACGAAGGCGAGGACAACGACGACGCCGCGGCGUCGAAGAAGCCGAGGGUGGUGUGGUCAGUGGAGCUGCACCGGAAGUUCGUCGCUGCCGUCAACCAGCUCGGGAUCGACAAGGCUGUACCUAAAAGAAUACUCGAGCUUAUGAACGUGGAGAAGCUCACCAGGGAAAAUGUUGCGAGUCAUCUGCAGAAGUACAGGCUAUACCUCAGACGGCUAAGUGCUGUGGCAUCACAACAAGCCAGCAUUGCUGCUGCCUUUGGAGGCAGAGACCCCUUUCUGCACAUGGGAGCAUUUGAAGGACUUCAUAGUUAUCAUCAACCUUUUGCCCCUUCUUCUGGUCUUCCAUCUUUCAAUCCACAUGGACUGCUGAGUGGUGCUGGUGCAGCAGCAUUUGGGCUUCAGGACUUUGUUCCUUCCAAGGCAAUUCAGUGUGAUAGCAGUAAUGGUGCAAUAAGUCAUUGCGCCGGCGAUACAAUCAAAUUUAACAUUGUGAGCUCACAAGACAAUCAACAGGCAGAUCUAACGCAAGGCUUGACCGCAUCGUCGUCACUUGGGCAGAGGUGGAUCCAUCAAGAAACCAAUGAUCUGUGCUCUGUCUUUUCCAGGGGUGCUCUGGCCAGCACUAUGUCUAGCACAUUCCAGAGAAUUACAAGCAGUUCACUACCACCAGAAGAUCUUUUGGAGUGCACUCCACAUAUCAAAGUUGGAGCCCAUCCAUCUAUAGGAAUACAAACUGCAAGUUCAGGGCUGCUUGAAAGGUCUCAGCAGGGUGCUCUUCCAAUUGGUGAUGGAUUUUCUAUUGACAAGUUACCGUUGCACGUCUCGUUCGAUGGCGCUGUCGCGACAAAACCGGAUGCUAGCUUUGCCGCUGAAGAACAAGACAUGGACCAAAAGGGGAUAUUUUCAGAAAGAAUGACUGUUGGUGUUUGCCCUUCUGAGAGCCUCAUAGCAGCCAACAAUGCCAGAUGUGGAGCCAGUUCUUCUGGUAGUACACUGCUGCUCCCUCAUGAUAUGGAGCGACAUUCGAAAUACUUGCAGUUUGGAGUUGCAAGCAACUCUAGACAUAGAAUGGAUGGAAUGAGACAAGACCAAAGACUGAACAGUGGAGGUUUUAGCUAUGAUGGUGGUGCCAUUGUGCCUGAACAUCAACAGACCGAUAUGGACGAUUUGGGAACUUCGAAGCUGCAGGGUGGGUCAAUUCUAGCAGCUGCAACUUUGAUGGCCUUCUCAAUUCCAUAA
rnacentral:rRNA from 1 species